rnacentral:rRNA from 1 species
GAUGAACGCUGGCGGCGUGCUUAACACAUGCAAGUCGAACGAUGAAGCCCAGCUUGCUGGGUGGAUUAGUGGCGAACGGGUGAGUAACACGUGAGUAACCUGCCCUUAACUCUGGGAUAAGCCUGGGCAACUGGGCCUAAUACCGGAUAGGAGCGCCUACCGCAUGGUGGGUGUUGGAAAGAUUUAUCGGUUUUGGAUGGACUCGCGGCCUAUCAGCUUGUUGGUGAGGUAAUUGCUCACCAAGGCGACGACGGGUAGCCGGCCUGAGAGGGUGACCGGCCACCCUGGGACUGAGGCACGGCCCAGACUCCAACGGGAGGCAGCGGUGGGGAAUUUUGCACAAUGGGCGAGAGCCUGAUGCAGCGACGCCGCGUGAGGAAUGACGGCCUUCGGGUUGUAAACCUCUUUCAAUAGAGAAGAAGCGAAAGUGACGGUACCUGCAGAAGAAGCACCGGCUAACUACGUG